rnacentral:rRNA from 1 species
AUGGAGGUUCAGAGAAUAACCGUGUUGAUGCAUGUGCAGCUACAGAAUCCGUGCUCGUCUUUUACGCCGAGUUGCGACGAAAAAUUGAAGCCUAAAGUAGGGAUGACAUUUGAGGGGCUUGAGGCUGUGGAGGAGUUCUACAAGUCGUAUGCACAUCAUGUGGGUUUUGGAGUUCGUGUCGGACAGCAGAAAAAGUUGAACGAAGAAGUGGUUCGGACAAAGCGUUUCAUGUGCAGCAGGGAAGGAUUUAGGACUGAGAAGAACAAGGAGAUUAAAGACCCAUCAAACCAAUCAAAGAAAAGCCGUAAGAAUACAACCACUCGAUGCGGUUGUGAUGCACAUAUCUUUGUCAAGUUGUGUGGCGACAACACCUACAGGAUACAAUCAUGGGUUGAGCACCAUAGCCAUGGCCUUGUAUCACCUGAUAAACGUCACUUGAUCAGAUCAAAUCGUAAAGUUAAUGAGAGGGCAAAAAAUAUGUUGUACACAUGUCACAAAGCAAGCAUAGGUACAUGCCAGGCGUACAGGCUCCUUCAAGUCAGCGAAGGGGUCAAUCAUCACUUACAGAGUGUGUUUUUUGGUGCGGCAUUCUUGUGCAAUGAGCAGACUGAGUCAUAUGUUUGGUUAUUUGAGACCUUCCUAACAGCAAUGGCAGGGGUAGCACCUAGACUCAUUAUAACUGAUGAAGCUGUUAGCAUGAAGAAUGUGAUUGAAACAGUUUUUCCGACCACAGUGCAUAGGUUAUGUAUGUGGCACAUAAUGGAAAAACUUCCGGAGAAGAUUGGACCAAUAAUUAGAGAAGAGUCUGAAUUUUGGGACAAGAUGAAUUCGUGUGUAUGGGGUUCGGAAACUCCAGCAGAGUUUGAAUCACAAUGGAAUUCCGUCAUUACGGAGUAUGGCUUGGAGGAAAAUGAGUGGCUGGUUAAAAGGUUUAGCAUUCACGAGUCAUGGAUACCAGCUUACUUUAUGGACAUACCAUUGGCGGGUAUUCUCCGAACCACUUCAAGGUCUGAAAGUGCAAAUUCAUUUUUUAACCGUUUUAUUCAUCAUAAGCUUGCUUUGGUUGAGUUCUGGCUUAGGUUUGACACGGCAUUAGAAUGCCAACGAGAAGAAGAGUUGAUUGCUGACAACUCAAGCAUUCAUACAACCCCGCAACUAUUAACACCAUGGGAAAUGGAGAAACAAGGUAGAGAUGUGUUUACAUAUGAGGUGUUUGAGAAAUUUCAGAAACAGAUUGUUGCAGCAAGAGACCAUUGUUGCAUCCAAGGCAUUGCACAAGAUGGAACACUAAAAAUAGUGACAUUGAGAGGUCGAUCCCAUAGGAUUAGGGAAGUUCAGUGUGUCACCACAACCAUGAUAGCUCAUUGUUCAUGUAAGUUAUUUGAAACAAUUGGAAUCCCGUGCCGCCAUAUCAUGCAGGUGUUGAGGGCUGAAAAUCAAAAUGAACUUCCAUCGUACUACAUUAUGAAAAGAUGGAAGAAACGGUGCAAAAGGGAGAAUGUGUAUGAUGAGCAUGGGAAUUUAAUAGAAGAGAAGGCAACCGAUUCGUUGAAUGAAGCUACGAGGAAGAAGAUUUCAGUUGUACGCAACAAGUUGGAAGAUCUAAUUCAGAAGGCCAAGCACUCGGAUGAAGGCAUGGAUUUUCUAACAUCAAGUGUAUUAAAUAUUGAAGCACCUUUGGAUGAAAUGGUUCCUACAUCAGGUGUGAAGCACACUAGACAAGAUGAGUAUGAGGCUUUUAUUGGUUGCAAUAUUCCUACUGAAAUUGACAUACACCCACCAACUGAUGUUCGCACGGUGGGGAGAUGCAAAAGAAUAAAGAGAGGAAAGGAAAUAAGUGAGGAGGAACAGAAAAAGAAGAAGAAGGAAGCCAAGAAUCACCAGGAAUUCCCAAGCACCAAGCAUCAGCUGUAUUACAUCAUGUAUUGCAGAAUACCUCAAAUCACCGGGGCCAAGCUAAAUUCACUUGUCUCUGAAAAACAAUACUCAACUAUAAUGUGGAAAACAUCAUCAGGCAGAGGAGCAACGCUGCAUGCGGUCGCAGUGUACUGGAUGGUGCGCAGGUUGCGGCCGUUGGCGAACUUGGCGUCGGGAACCCACAAGAAGGCGGGCGAGCGCGGAGGUAGUCCAGACAUGGCGGAUCUCACCGCGGCCGUCGCACACGGUCUGAUCAACCAUCUCGGAGAAGAACAACCAGAAGCAAUUUCAGCUAGCCAAGCCAUGGUGAUCACCCUGAUGCUCCUACUCAGUAGCCUCACACCCUUCCAGACAACUGCGGAUGAAUUCUGCGACAACGUUAAGUUUCUCGCCGCCACCCUACCCAACAAAAUCUCCUCAUCUCCCGUACAAUUUGCCACCGCCACCAUUGGAAAGUCCCCUGACAUCGUCUACGGGCUCGCGUUCUGCCGUGGCGAUGUCCUUAAUGACACCGCCUGCGCCAAGUGUCUCACCAACGUAUUGACCUUGGUGCAAAACGCUACGCCGCCGGAAAUAGAGUGCUUCAGCGUUGCCUCCUACUACAGCGAUUGUAUGCUUUUCUACGACUUCAAGAACAUCCUUUCUCUUUCAUCUAUAAAUAUUUCGGUAGGAGAAAACGGUGGCGACCCUCCGUUCCAGAGGUGGAAUGUCAAGAACGACGUCCGCCUCAUUGGCGGAGUCCUCAUCCAGGAGCUGCUUGUGAAGACAGUCGAAGAGGCGGCCAGCAGGACCCCGAGACGAUUUGCUACCGCCGUCAUGGACAGCGGCAGAGACUUCCCGAAGGUGUACUCCAUGGCGCAGUGCACGCCGGAUUUGUCUACUGGCGACUGUCUGGCAUGCCUGACUCAUCUCCUCGGGAUGGUCAACUUCACUAUGUACCUGCGCGUAGGGGGGCAGAUGGGUGCCAUCCGUUGUUUCUUAAGGUACGAGCCGCAUUUGUUCUACCAUGGUGAACCCAUGCUGCACCUCGAGACGUCAUUGGGGACAUCACCGGCAGGGCCAGCUCCAACUCCGACAGAACACAAGAGGCGUAUGCUUAAGGCGUGGACAAUUCCCGUAGCUGUCGCUGUUCCUGUAGCGGCAGCAGCAUUCAUGUGCUGCACCAUUUAUUCUCAUCGGAUCAUAAAGCAAAGAAAAAGUAAAGUAAGUAGGUUCCAAAGAGCAAUACCUUCUCGGGAUUUGGAUGGGGAGGAACAACUAGUUUGGCAAGAGAAGAAUUCCGAGUUUUUGGUGUUUGACUUGAAACAGCUACUAGAGGCCACAAACAAUUUUUCAGAAGAAAACAAACUUGGACAAGGUGGUUUUGGCGCAGUGUACAAGGCAAAGUUUCCUGGGGGGUUGGAUAUGGCAGUCAAGAGACUUGCUUCACACUCAGGACAAGGUUUCAUUGAGUUCAAAAAUGAAGUUCAGCUCAUCGCCAAACUCCAGCAUAUGAAUUUGGUUAGGCUCUUAGGAUGUUGUUCGCAAGAAGGAGAGAAAAUAUUGGUCUAUGAAUACUUGCAAAACAAAAGCUUGGAUUUCUUUAUUUUUGAUGAAAACAGAAGACGUUUACUUGAUUUUUCGAAAAUUGUAGCAAUAAUUGAUGGAAUAGCUGAUGGACUUCUUUAUCUACAUAAACAUUCACGGUUGCGAGUAAUACAUCGUGAUCUUAAACCAAGCAACAUUCUCUUGGAUAGCGAAAUGAAACCAAAAAUCUCAGAUUUUGGGCUAGCAAAAAUAUUUAUCUCAAAUAACACCGAAGGAAACACUACAAGAAGAGUAGUUGGUACAUAUGGCUACAUGGCCCCCGAGUAUGCUUCGGAGGGUGUCUUCUCUAUCAAAUCUGACGUCUUCAGCUUUGGAGUUAUUAUUUUUGAUAUUCUUACUGGAGAAAGGAAUUGUAGAAGCCAACAUUGUGGAGAUUUCAUCAAUCUCCUUGGAUAUGCAUGGAAAUUAUGGGAAGAGAGAAGGUGGAUUGAUCUCGUUGAUGCAUCGUUGGUUCCUAGUAGUCAUUCAACAAAGGUGAUGCGCUACAUUAACAUAGCAUUGUUGUGUGUACAAGAGAAUGCAGCUGACCGACCAAGCAUGACCGAUGUUGUUGCAAUGUUAAGCAAUGAGACAAUGAUCAUGUCUCAGCCUAAGCAGCCCGCAUAUUUCAACUUAAGGGUUGGAAAUGAAGAGCCAUCUGCAGCUAUCGAGACACAUAGGGUCGUGAAGAUAGUAGAAAGAAGAUCCAUCUCCCCCUCGUUCCCCACUGCAACCGAGCGCUGCCAUGGCCUCGCCGCCGUGAAUCGCGCGGCCACAGUCACCGCCUCGCCGCGCCUGCAUGUCCGUCGACGCCUCCAUCGUCUUCCUCGUCCACCGGAGGCCUCAGCUGGAGCGGGGGAGCCCCGAAUCACCGGAUCCCCUUCAUCCACAUCUCCGGCUGCUGCGUUCUUCACCAACUCCGGCGACAUCCCUCUGCAUUUCCGUUCACUCGAGGGCCUCCGUGUGCCGCGACGUAAGCCUCCGCACCCUCCUCCUUCCUCUGGUUCCUCCUCAUGCACCGUAGAUGGCUCGUGGUGCUGCCGUCGCCAUUGCCGCAUGCGGCCUCGUCCGCGAGCUCAUUGCGCUCACCCCAUCCAUCUCCGAGCCAAGCCGUGGCCUCCGUCGCGUUGCCGGAGAUCCAUCUCCUCCUCGUUCCCCACUGCAACCGAGCGCUGCCAUGGCCUCGCCACUGUGAAUCGCGCGGCCACAGUCACCGCCUCGCCGCGCCUGCGUGUCCGUCGACGCCUCCAUCGUCUUCCUCGUCCACCGGAGGCCUUAGCUGGAGCGGGGGAGCCCCGAAUGACCGGAUCCCCUUCGUCCACAUCUCCGGCUGCCGCGUUCUUCACCAACUCCGGCGACAUCCCUCUGCGCUUCCGUUCACUCGAGGGCCUCCGUGUGCCGCGACAUAAGCCUCCGCACCCUCCUCCUUCCUCUGGUUCCUCCUCAUGCACCGUAGAUGGCUCGCGGUGCUGCCGUCGCCAUUGCCGCAUGCGGCCUCGUCCGCGAGCUCAUUGCGCUCACCCCGUCCAUCUCCGAGCCAAGCCGUGGCCUCCAUCGCGUUGCCGGAGAUGA